ensembl:snoRNA SNORA73 Small nucleolar RNA SNORA73 family
CCCUCAUGUCUUUCCUGCAUCCCCUGGACGCUGUCCGGACAGCAGAGGGGAGCACAGGGCUAAGCCCCACGACACACAAUCCUUUUCCACAAUGCUGGAGAUGAAGCUGGGUCUUGAGUCUGCACCUACAUACUCGUGUGGCUUCUCAGAGCUCUGGGGACAAUGCCUGAGGGAACAAGCCAUGCAGGAAACAUCU